CUCUGUCUGUCAUAUGUGAUACUGUUUACCUCCUUUAUUUACUAUCAGAAAAUACAGAAAGCUGGGCAAUUGCACACGCCUAUAAUCCCAGCCUAUAAUCCCAGCGGCUUUGGAGACUGAGACAGAGGGAUUGCCUCAGCAAUUUAGUGAGGCCCUAAACAACUAGUGAGACCCUACCUCUAAAUAAAAUACAAAAUGGGCUGGGGAUGUGGCUCAGUGGCCAGUGCCCCUGAGUUCAAUCGCUGGUACCCACCCCCACAAAAAAAGAAAGAAAAGAAAUCCAAAUGGGAAAGAAUGAAAACAUCAGAGGGCCUCUGAGCUUGAAUCAUCUAGUUUAGUCUCCUCUUUCAGGACCUUAGGCCUAGGGAGGUAAAGGCAUGUAUGUGCCCAAGGUCACAGAGAAAUUCAGGGGGAAGCAAGUCCUAUCUCGACUCCCAAGCCAGCACUCUUAAAAUCAGCACUCUUACAUUUUUAGACUUUUACUAUAUUUACUUUUUUGUAAUGUUCUAGUUUAGAUUUGUAGUGUCCCCCAGAGUCUCAUGUGUCAGACUCAGUCACCAUCCUGGAACAUUAUUGAUAGAUCAUGGAAAUGUUAGAAGGUGGAGCCUACUGAAAGGAAGUUAGAUCAUUGGGGAUGUGCCUUUGAAUGAGUACAUUAGGACCUCUGCUCCUUCUUUUCUUUGCUUCCUGACCUUGAAUUGAGCAGGUUGCUCAGCCACUUGCUCCCCACCUGUGCUUCACCACAGAGCCAAAAACAUCAGAGCCACCUGACCAUGGACUGAGCAUCUGAAAGCAUAAGCCAAAAUAAAUCUUUCCUCCUUUUAAGUCAUUUACCUCAGGUAUUUUGCCACAAUGAUGGAAAGAUGACUAACAGAGGAAAUGUAUACCAGGAUACCAGGAGUGGAGCCACUGCUUUAAUUAUACCUGACAGUGUGGUUCAGAAACCUUUGGAAUUGAUUUGUAGGAGGAAUUUGGAGACGUUCAGAGAAGCAGACUACGACUACAGAAAGCUUAGAACUGUGUAAGCAGAGCUCAAUGGGGGAUUCUAGUUGGAGCUCAGGAGACAGGAUGCUGAGAGGAAUGUGAACAGUAAAGACUGUACUGAUGAAAUUUCAGAUGGAAAUGAAGGCUCUAUUUGGAAUUGGGCUAGAGGCCAUUCAUGUAAUAUGCUGACAUAGAACUUGUCUACAUUUUGUCCAGACCCUGAGACUUUAUGAGAACCUGAGUUGAAAGGUCAUGGACUAAUUAACCUGGAAGAGGAAA
rnacentral:lncRNA from 1 species